UAUUUAUGGGGAGAUAGGAGUAUCAGCACCAUCUACAGUGACGAAAUCAGACCAUUCAGCAUGUUAUGUUGACAAUUUAAAUGUACAUGUACGUUACUAUUUUGUCUGAAGUUAUUUAUGUUUGGGGUUGCCUUGAACUCUGUUUGUUUCGGAAAAACCUCAAAUAGCUCUGCAGGUCAACCACUGUUUGUGUUACUGUGUUUGACAAGGUCGUAAAUCUCCUCCAUGACAAGUUCGAACUCUUGGGUGUGAAGCCUACCCAAUGGUUGCAACAAACAUAAAUCCCAAAUUUGUUGGUGGUUGUUUAUUCUACAAUGAAAGCCUAGCCACACAUGAACUUUUAAAAGAGUUUUUUGUGGAGGUGAGGCUGGUUCCAAGUAUUGUGGUCUUAAGAAACUUGAGUCAGUCACGCUCCAGGAGCUUAAUAGCUAUGUUCUCAAUUCAACCCCCCCCCCCCCCCCCCAUGUACGUCCACUUAAUAAGAGGCUGUGGAAUUCAUUUGCAAAGGUGAGGUGGCUGAUAUUGACACAACCAAUGGAUAGUGCUGCAUCUCAUGUUCUAUGUGCUCGCGCAAGCUGCUUUGUGGAUUCACAUCUUUCAGCUGCUCCGGAUGCAGUGAUAAGAAAGCAGUAGGUUCCGAGUGCAGAUGGCGGUAGAAGACGUCACCAAUGCAGCUCUUUUUGUCGCAUUUGAUGAGGAAAUCACCAAACUUUCUUUAGGUAGGAAUCAGAGUUAGAUUUGAGGCCAGUUGUGUUGGAUUUGAUGUUGUACACAAUGAAAACAUUUCAUGUUAUAUGUUUAAUUCUUGAUUUUGAUAUGUCAA